GUGCUUUGGCAGCACAUAUACGAAAACUGGAAUAAUACCAAGAAGAUUAGCAUAUCUCUUGCAAAUAAAGAUGACAUGCAAAUCUGUGAAGCAUUUUAUACACAC